rnacentral:lncRNA from 1 species
ACAACCGCAAAUUUCUCCAGCUGCGACGCGUGCAUAUCUAGACAUAAUUCAAAAUGUUAAACCUGAAGGUAUUGGUGGCCAUGGUGGUGAUUUCCCAGUACAUAGCCAGCGUGCAUCCAUACUGCUACAUAAGGCCAGAUGCUAACUGCAAACCAGGCUUGAGCGAGGUUAUUGACUGUGCUGACUGUAGUUGCAGCGACGAUGGAACGACUCUUUACUGUUGCUUCAAUAUCGGAAGACCAACUCGCAUGACACCAGGAUGCAAGGCUGAAUUCAACGCUGAAACGUGUCAGUUUGAUAUCUCCAACCAAGACUCACCUGGUACCGAGUGCCGUGUCUACGCAAUGACAGGUCGUUAGGAGUCCGUGACGUCGACUUAUAGCAAAAGCUAGUAGUUUAUUACGACAAUCCUGACAGUCUUAAAUAUUAUUAUUGGUUUAUUUAUUCCCACAAACAUUUGAAAAACGGUCAAAAGACUGACAGCAUUCAAAUUUACAAUUACAUGUACAACUAAUAAAGUAAAUUCGAAAAAAAAAUAUGUUACAAUUCUGGACAAAGACGGAAUUGCACAACGUUUAUACGGCUCAGUAUUGCACGUUUGUGUAUGAAGACCAGGCUGAGUGCUGUUCCUUAAGUGUCUUCCACUGACAUCUUUUUCUUCUGGUGGAAGUUACAAAACCUACUAGACGUAAGUAAUUGUUUUCCAAACUUCAAGAAUAAAUCUGAGCUCCUCUGCUCCAAAGUUUGGAUAUUCAAUCUAUAAUUGAUGGCAUAAAGGUAUGUAUCAUAAUCACUAUCAAGAAUUAUUCUGCAACACGUUUUUGAACGCGUGCAAUUAAUCCAAUCUGAUCCUUUGAAAUCGAAGAAUGCUAUAUUGGACAGGCAUAUUCUAAAAUGGGUCUAAUGUAAGAAAGUAAUUGCAACCUUGUGAGAAAUAGUUAUCUUUGUCCUUUUCAAGAUAGACAACAUAAAAAGUCUACGAGAGGCUUUGGAAUCUCAAAUAUACGUAAAUUCCACUUUAAAUUGUUUGGAAUAAUAACUCUCAAUAGUUUCACGUGAGAAACAGUGGUCAAAGUAUUUCCAUUCAUAGACAGUUCUGGUGGUAUAUACCACAUUUCGUUUAUUAGAAGGAACGAAAUAUACAUACUUUUACAUUUAGAAGGUGUAGGAAACAUAUUGUUUUCCAAAUACCACUCUGAAAAGCUAUGUAAAUGCGAUUGUAACUGUGGUUGGUCCCCGUUUUAAUAAUUCCAUCAAUAGUAAGAUCGUCUGCAUAUUUCCAUGUCCCGCAGCCGUCAACCCUAAGAUCAUUGAAUAGAAUCAGAAAUAAAAUCGGACCUAAUUUUGUCCCCUGUGGCACCCCACAUGUCACUUCACAAAGAGAAGACAAGUGGCCGAAUGAUUUAAUAUUUUGAUGGCGUUUUAUGAGAAAGCUGCAGAUAAUGGGAACAAUUCACGGUCUAACUCCAAGAUCAAGAAGUUUGCGAAUAACUAUUGUGUGAUUUACCCAAUCAAACGCCUUAGUGAAAUGUAUAGCACAAAUUUGAGCAUAAUUGGCAAGUUAUCAGUUCCCCCGGCAAUGAAAUUCAAAAGAUCAAGCAAAUAAUGUGAAGUAGUGUAACCUUUCACAUUGCCACGUUGAUUAGAAUCAAAAUUAAAAGCAAUGUCUUGCAAUAUCCUCUUGGAUAUAAAUGUUUCAAAGACACGUGCAAAGAUUGAAGUUAACUCUAUUGGACGCAGUUGAUCAAAAGAGGAAAUUCUCUUUUCUUUUGAACUGGCACGACCGAAGCAGUUAUCCAUACCUCAGGAAAACUGCCAUCAACAAUACAAUUGUUAACCAUAUGCGUUAAUAUAGGUUAAAAUGUUCCAAGAAAUACAUCUCAGCGGAUUUAAACUAAGCCUACGUAGGAAUGUAUCAAAAUUAUAAUCAUUACAAUGGUAUAAAGAAAUUUAAAAAAAAUCUAGACUCCAUAGCGACAGCUUUGGUAGAAUAGUUAUUCCCUCCCCUGUAUCCCCAGUCUGAAAUCAUUCUUGUACUGAUUCCAUAGGUUUCCGUAAGACGUAAAAUAUCCUUCUGAAGGUUCUGUUCCUUAAGCUCGAAUAUGCUUUUCGGCUUCCUGAGCUGAUACACAUUAAAGCACAUUCUUUAUAACGACAAGGAGAUAAAUUGAAAUUAAAAAAAAAUGUGCGUGA